rnacentral:rRNA from 1 species
GAUGAACGCUGGCGGCGUGCCUAAUACAUGCAAGUCGAGCGAACAGAUGAGGAUCUUGCUCCUCUGACGUUAGCGGCGGACGGGUGAGUAACACGUGGAUAACCUACCUAUAAGACUGGGAUAACUUCGGGAAACCGGAGCUAAUACCGGAUAAUAUAUUGAACCGCAUGGUUCAAUAGUGAAAGACGGUUUUGCUGUCACUUAUAGAUGGAUCCGCGCCGCAUUAGCUAGUUGGUAAGGUAACGGCUUACCAAGGCAACGAUGCGUAGCCGACCUGAGAGGGUGAUAGGCCACACUGGAACUGAGACACGGUCCAGACUCCUACGGGAGGCAGCAGUAGGGAAUCUUCCGCAAUGGGCGAAAGCCUGACGGAGCAACGCCGCGUGAGUGAUGAAGGUCUUCGGAUCGUAAAACUCUGUUAUUAGGGAAGAACAAAUGUGUAAGUAACUAUGCACGUCUUGACGGUACCUAAUCAGAAAGCCACGGCUAACUACGUG